GUUUGAUAAGAGAAGGACUAAAAAUGCCGCAAAAGGCAUAUGACACAAACAUUUAAGUUGGUGGUGUCCAGCUGCCAGCUCUCCCUUCUACUGCGCCGAGCCCCUGAAUGUUUCCCGGAGUGCCAGCUCUGAGCGCUGCCAGCGGAACACAACAAUACCGGGCGUGCGAGGCAGAGGAAACAGGGACACAGACCAGGAGAGAGAGGGCUGGUCGAGAGAGGGUCCUUGCCAUUAAAGCGGGAGGAGAGAUGGUGAAAGAGUUAUAGAGAAGGAACAAGAGGAAGAGCCAAACAG
ensembl:lncRNA